rnacentral:misc_RNA from 1 species
CGGCCUCAUAGCUGGACUUAUUGCUGGGUUAAUAGUUGCUCUUCUUUUGGUCGGAUUAUUAUUUUUAUUGUGUAAGCGUAGAUAUAAAGGCUACAAGGGUGAAGUCUUCGAAGAUGUUCCCGGUGAAAUUGAUCGAAGAAUUGCAUUUGGUCAGCUGAAAAGAUUUGCAUGGAGGGAACUACAGCUAGCUACAGAAAAUUUUAGUGAGGAAAAUGUUAUAGGACAAGGAGGCUUUGGAAGGGUUUACAAAGGGGUGCUUGCUGAUGGCACCAAGGUUGCAGUGAAACAGUCAACUAAUUAUGAAAGCCUUGGGGG